GAGCUAAUAGAUGCCGCCGGGCUGGGUGACGAGGUCAGAGUUCAGCAGCUCCUAGCCGGGGGAGUCGAUGUCAAUGCUGCAGACGGCCACAAAUGGACUGGUCUCCACUUUGCAUCACGGAAUGGCCACACAGCAAUUGUACAAGCUUUACUCACAGCUGGAGCGGCAGUUGACUCAAGAAGCUCCACGAAUCAGACCCCCCUUCACAAGGCGGCAGAAAAUGGACACCCCUAGUGUGUCAGAGCACUGCUGAAGGCUGGAGCCAACACCUUCAUUAGGGGCUCCAGGCUACAGAAGAAGAAGACAGCAGAGGAGCUUGCAGUACAAGAGGACGUGCUGAAGGUUUUCCAGUUGUUCAAAGGUGAGGAAUCCGUGCAGACGAUGGUCAAAUCAUCUCUUCAUUGGUGAGAUGUAUCUUUCCAGCAAACACGUAUUUUUGAAAGUAAAAUAAAGGAUCA